rnacentral:lncRNA from 1 species
UUGGUCUUCGUCUCUUUCGUACAUCCCCUCUGGACGCCCGAAGCCUCCUCUUCCCAAAACAUGGCCUCACCGAAACUCACCAAACACGACAUGGCCCGAAACAACCGACAACUCUUCCACCGCCAAACCACUGCUGGCCACUAGUUGGCCGGAGGUCAUCACCGUUGCAGGAAUACUUCCGGCGAAAGAUUAGAUUUUUGAGCCUUAGACUCCCGUAUGAGCAAACAACACGAUGGAAGGGACUAAAAUUCGAAUAAAGACGACACCACAGAAACGAACCUCGCGAAAGCCAUUUCCAAAUCUCGCUUUGACAUUUCAUCAAACACAUAGAAUGCACUGGUUAGAGGGAGGACCUAGGCUUAUCCGGGGCUAUUGUUCGGACCAAGCAAUGAUCAUUGACACACAAGCAACAUUCCAGACCAACUUAGAGAUCGAUCACAUCAAAUUUAACAUUGGUAUCAACUCAAAGAUGAUAAGGCUCGGGCAAGACCAACUAAGAAUAUGUGGACUUCAUUCAAGCAUCCAUAUAAACAGUUGGCGUGCGCGACUCGAACGAGAGAUUUCUGAUGUGAUCGAGACUCAAACAUAGCCCUAAGGUCCUACUGAAGCAUACCAAAGUGCACAACGAAGGACCAACGGGACCCAAACUCGCGCGAACUAGUCGGUCGCGAGCUCCGACUCGAUGCCUCCCCAAAGCGGGGCACCGAUGGUUCGGAAGACCUACCUGGUUCGGACGGUGAGCAACGGGCGAACCUCAG